UACGGAGGGUGCGAGCGUUGUCCGGAAUCACUGGGCGUAAAGGGCGCGUAGGCGGCGCGGGUAGUCGUCGGUGAAAGCUCAGGGCUCAACCCUGAGUCGGCCGGUGAUACUCCCGUGCUCGAGCACUGUAGAGGCAGGUGGAAUUCCGGGUGUAGCGGUGGAAUGCGUAGAGAUCCGGAAGAACACCGGUGGCGAAGGCGGCCUGCUGGGACGUGGCUGGACGCUGAUGCGCGACAGCGUGGGGAGCAAACAGG
rnacentral:rRNA from 1 species